GUACUCGGAGACAUACUUCGACGAUACCUACGAGUACAGGCACGUUGUCCUCCCGUCUGACGUUGCAAAGAUGCUGCCCAAGAAUCGCCUUCUCUCUGAGUGUGGUUGUGAAUUGGAU